UCUCUGUGUCAGUAGGUUCGCGAGUCCUCAGUCCUGAGAGCGAGACCGUUGUCGUUCACUGAGUGAUUCAUGUCGUUAAUCCGCAGUGAACAAAUCGUUCGCUCAGUUCUCCCCAAACCUCAUGAUGAGUAGCUGGCUGCGUCAAGGGUUCAGUGAGUCACAGAAUGCGCCAGUUCCACCCAUACCGGCAUGGUCGCGGCGGAGCUCAACUGAACUGAGAAAGGAACAAAUCAGUUCAUGAAAUGAUUCGUAUGUUCACUCAAAAGAUCUGUUUGUUCGAACGACACAACACUACCGGACAGCUCCGCAAAAGAGGACAUGUCCGGUGAAAAGAGGAGGUGUCUUGACACGCAGUGUCUCAGGGGAGUCGACGGCAGCUAUGGACGGCGCAAGCUCAGCUUUUCUCCGAUGCCGGAGGGACACGACAUACUUCAAUCAAUCAAUCAAUGUUUAUUUAUACAGCCCUAAAUCACAAAUGUCUCAAAGGACUGUACAAACCAUUACGACUACGACAUCCUUGGAAGAACCCACAUAAGGGCAAGGAAAACUCACACCCAGUGGGCAGGGAGAAUUCACACCGAGUGGGAUGCCAGUGACAAUGACGACUAAGAGAAACCUCGGAGAGGACCUCCCCCCCCUCUAAGUACAGAUGAUGUGGCUUGAACAGAUUAAAUGUUUGUUUACAUUGGAAAAAUUAUGAAUGCACUGAAAUGAAAGUUCUUGGCUGAAACUUAAGACUAUUUAUUGAAAUAUGUCAAUACCUCAGACUAGGCAUGGGCCAGAACAUGGUAUCAUUACCUUUAACAAAAAUAACAUGUUUUUGUAGCAAUGUUUUAUACACCCCGCUAGCAGCACACCCCGCCAGCCCCCCACCCCCCGUGCGUCGAUAAGGUGGGCGGGGUUAAAGGGCGCGGGGGUGUAAAAUAUAUUCAGGAAUUGUCACGGAUACAAAGGA